CCCGUCUUGAAGCACGGACCAAGGAGUCUAACAUGUGUGCGAGUCAUUGGGCGCACUAAACCCAAAGGCGAAAUGAAAGUAAAGGGCCUCCCUUGAGGAGGCCCGAGGGCCGAUCCGCUCUCGCGGCGGCGCAGGCUCGGGACUUGCACACCCCACUGUGGGUGGUGAGUACCAAGAGCAGACAUGUUGGGACCCGAAAGAUGGUGAACUAUGCCUGGCCAGGACGAAGCCAGAAGAAAUUCUGGUGGAGGUCCGUAGCGAUUCUGACGUGCAAAUCGAUCGUCGGAGCUGGGUAUAGGGGCGAAAGACUAAUCGAACCAUCUAGUAGCUGGUUCCCUCCGAAGUUUCCCUCAGGAUAGCUGGUGCUCGCUACAGAGUUUCAUCCGGUAAAGCGAAUGAUUAGAGGUCUUGGGGACGAAACGUCCUCAACCUAUUCUCAAACUUUAAAUGGGUGAGAGGUCGGGCUUGCUUGACUGAAGCCCCGACAGUGAAUCUGGAGUACCUAGUGGGCCAUUUUUGGUAAGCAGAACUGGCGCUGUGGGAUGAACCAAACGUCGAGUUAAGGGGCCUAAAUGGACGCUCAUCAGAUCCCAUGAAAGGUGUUGGUUGCUAUAGACAGCAGGACGGUGGCCAUGGAAGUCGGAAUCCGCUAAGGAGUGUGUAACAACUCACCUGCCGAAGCAACUAGCCCUGAAAAUGGAUGGCGCUCAAGCGUCCUCCCGAUACUCGACCGUCGGGGCAGUACCGGCCGACCAGGGUCUCGAAGCCCCGACGAGUAGGAGGGUCGCAGCGGUGAGCGUAGAAGGAGUCCGGCGUGAGCCGGUCUGGAGCCGCCGCUGGUGCAGAUCUUGGUGGUAGUAGCAAAUACUCGAGCGAGAUCCUUGAGGGCUGAAGUGGAGAAGGGUUCCAUGUGAACAUCAGUUGAACAUGGUGCAGUCGAUCCUAAGCCCAAGGAGAAAUCCGCCUUCCACAGUCCCGCCGUGCCGACAAAUUUAGAGAAAUUUAACGGUCUAUGCGGCCGGAAGGUUUUGGGCGAAAGGGAAUCCGGUUCUUAUUCCGGAACCUCCACCCGGAGACGGUGUUACCCCUCGCCUAAAGGUACUCCUGGCGACAGGAGGAAGCCUGCUGCUGCCGGCCGCGGUCCAGGGAAGAGUUUUCUUUUCUGCUUAAGAGGUCUUGGCCCUGGAAGCUACUUGCAAGGCGAGAGGGCCUUAUCAAACCCGUAGAGCGUCGCAGUUCUUGCGGCGUCCUGAGUACCGCGAUCUUUUGCCGGUCCAUGAAGCAGCGGGGGAAGGGGUCA
rnacentral:rRNA from 1 species